GACGAACGCUGGCGGCGUGCUUAACACAUGCAAGUCGAACGGUCAAACUCUUCGCUGGGGCUCCUGGGGGUACGGGUGAGUGACAGGUUGACAAGCUGCUCCCGUCCCUGUGAUAACGCCAAGACUUCGGGGCUAAUACCGGAUGAUCACCGCUUCCCGCGUGGGUGGUGGUUCAAAGGUUUUCCGGCUGGGGGUGGGCCCGCGGCCUAUCAGCUUGUUGGUGUGGUAGUGGCGUACGAAGGCGACGAUGGGUAGCCGGCCUGGGAGGGUGGCCGGCCACAAGGGGACUGAGACACGGCCCAGACGCGUACGGGAGGCAGCAGGGGGGAAUAUUGCGCAGUGGGCGGAAGCCUGACGCAGCGACGCCGCGUGGGGGAUGCCGGCCUUCGGGUUGUAAACCUCUUUCAGCGGAGACGAGGCGGAAGUGACGGUACCUGCAGAAGAAGCACCGGCCAACUACGUG
rnacentral:rRNA from 1 species